ACUUGGCAUAUACAACCCAAAAAUAAAUGCGGAAGUCUACAAUUCAAUCUCAAAACUAGGAAACUCAUUGGAAGCACAUGCUAAGGAAAAUACUGUAAAUGCUCUAAUCUCCAUAAUGUCUACAUCAAAAGUAUGAUAGAAUCUAAACACUACAAGUAGAAUAAGGAAGGAAACUCUUCGGUCUGCGGACGCUGCAGAUAUACCUCGAGUCCCCGCUAGAUCUCUUUGCCUCGAUGAUAGUGCGCCUGAGAAGAAGUACCUGGAUAUGUACAUGAAACAUGCGGAUGCUGCAGAUAUACCUCAAGUCUCCACUAGAUUUCUCCGCCUCGAUGGUAGUGCGCCUGAGAUGAAGUACCUGGAUCUUCACAUGAAAAACAUGCACAUAAGAGGCAUUAGUACGCCACAAUGGUACUCAGUAAGUGCCAAACCUAACCUCGGUCGGGUAGUGACGACGAAGGUCAGGGCCCUAAUGAGAUUUAAAUAAUAUGAUAAGAAUGAUGACAACAACAUACAGUAAGAAGACAUAAUGGAAUACAACCGUGGAGUAAGUAAGACCAUACAAAUAACAAUCAACACACCGAGGAUGAAAUAACCCAGAGUAAAAAAGGUCAAAAUCAGUACCAAUUUACUAGGAUCUCCCAGGAUACCGUCCUGUAGUCCAUUUUCGUGUCAAUACCAAUAAUGAGGAUCUCUCAAGAUACCGUCCUGUAGUCCAUUCCCAUAAAUUGUAGGAUGCAUUUCAAUACCAAUAAUGAGGAUCUCCCAGGAUACCGUCAUGUAGUCCAUAUCAAUACCAAUAACGAGGAUCUCCCAAGAUACCAUCAUGUAGUCCAUUUCCAUAUCAAUACCAAUAACGAGGGUCUCCCAGGAUACCAUCCUGUAGUCUAUUUCCAUAUCACUACCAAUAACGAGGAUCUUCCAGGAUAUCGUCCUGUUGUCCAUUUCCAUGAUAUAAAUGUGCAGGGGGAACCUGGAAUCUAACCCGUAGUCCCAAAGUAAAUAUGUAGGGGGAUCUCUCAGGAAUGAAACCCGUAGUUCCAAAGUAAAUAUGCAGGGGGGUCUCCCGGGAAUCAAACACUUAGUCCCAAAGUAAUUAUGCAGGGGGAUCUACCGGGAAUCAAACCCGUAGUCCCAAAGUAAAUAUGCAGAGGGAUCUCCUAGAAAUCAAAUCCGUAGUCCCAAAGUAAAUAUGCAGGGAAUCAAACCCGUAGUCCCAAAGUAAAUAUGUAGGAGAUCUCCCGGGAAAAAAACCUGUAGUCCCAAAAUAAAUAUGCAGGGGGAAUCUCCCAGGUACCUCGCGCUCGCCACCUCGUGUACAAGGCACUCAAUUACCAAAUAACAUAUCCUAAGAGGAAGGUCCCCCACACAAGGUUAGAAAAUCCACUUACCUCAAUCGGCCCCAAAAUCAACUUUAAAUCACUCUUUUGCCACGAGUAUCCGACUCCAACUCGCCCAAAUCUAUUCAUUUCAAUUACAUCUCAUAAAUAACAUCUCAAGAAACUAAUUCUACUAUUUAAUUUAAAUCUAUGAUGUAAAUUUAGGUAAAAUAACCAAAAUGCCCUCAGGCCAACGUGGUCAAAACCUAAGGUUCGAACAAAAAUCCGGUUAUCCAUUCCCCCACAAACCCAAAUAUAUGAUUUGUUUUAAAAUUAGACCUCAAAUUGUUUUAAAAUCGAACCUCAAAUUGAGGUCGAAAUACCCAAUUAGAUGAAAAUUUAGAUAAAUUGACCAAAAUGCCCCUCGGACCAACGUGGUCAACACAUGAGGUUCGAACUAAAAUCCGAUUAUCCAUUCCCCAUGAAUCCAAUUAUGUGAUUAGUUUUGAAAUAGGAUCUUGAAUUGAGGUCCAAUCCCCAAUUUUAUCAAAACACUAGGUCCUACCCAAUAUACCCGAAUUUACCCAUUAAAAACUUCGAUUUGAUGUUGAAAUUAUGUUAAAUGGUGUUAAUGAGUGAAGAAAAUGAGUUAGAAACCACUUACCAAUCGUUUUGAAGAAAAAGUAUUGCUUAGAAAAUCGUCUUCUUAGGUUUUGAGUUUUUUAAAAGUGAGAAAUAACUGAAAAAUUCCGUAUAUUUAUAAUCUCUGGACCUCCUCGCGCGAUCGAUGACCGCAGCUGCGCUGGUGGAGCUAAAAUAUGUUAGUCCUCUGAAGUUGGCAGCAUGGACCGUGCGAGGGGGAUCGUGGCCGCGCGGCUCACGCCGCGGAUCGCGCCAGAGCGAACGCAGUCGUGCUAGAGGAACUGAAGGCUGUGGGUUCUCUGAAGCUGGCAGCGUGGACCACACAAGGAAGACCGAGGCCGGGUGGAUCAUGCCACAAACUGCUUGAUCACCACUACGGCCGCGCGAUGGAACCUACAGCUUGCAUUUGACCUGCAACAUCUGGUGUUUUAAGUCUAAGACCUCCCAGAACCUACUUGAAACUCACCAGAGCCCUCGGGGAUCCAAACAAAACAUACACAUCACUUCAAAAACAUCUUACGGACUUGUCCGUAGGAUCAAAUCACCAAAAUAACAUCAUAUACAUCGGAUCGAGCCUCAAAACUCAUGAUUUCUUCCAAAUUUCUCAUAUGACAUAAAAUGGCCAUUUUGGGUCUGAAACACAUCAAAAGACGUCAGUUUUCAACCAAACAUUACAGAAAGAGCUCCAAGCAUAUAUAAGACUUGUACCGGGUACCGUAACCAAAAUACGGGCUCGAUACCCAGUAUUCUAAUCAAAUUUCAUUUCCAUUUUCUUUAAUUAUUUCCAUAAAAUAAUUUGACAUAAAAAUCCAUUCCUCGAACUUGGGACCUCGGAAUCCGAUUCCAGGUGUAUAUUUUCCUACGAUUCCCUACGGGACCGUCAAAUCACGGGUCCGGAUCCGCCUACCCAAAAAUAUUGACCAGAGUCAACUGUUAACAUAUUAAUAUCAAAAUUCUGCAUUUUCACACAAAAUUCAUAUUUAAGCUUUUUCGGCUAUGCGCCGGGACUGCGCAAGCAAAUCGAGGAAACCCGAGAGGAGGUUUUAAGGCCUCGGAAGUACCGAACGGAAAAAAAUAAUAAUUGAUGACCCCAUUGGGUCGUCACAAUAGCCUUAAAUUGUAUUAUGCUUUCUUGUUUACACUACUUGGAAUUUAUAUAACGAGGAUACCAAAAGAUCCUCGGGAUACUAAGAGAUCCCUAGUAUAUAAUGAGGAUACUAAGAGAUUCUUGGGAUAGCAAGAGAUCCCUAUCUCAUAUUGAGGAUACAAAGAGAUCCCUGAUAUAGAUUGAGGAUACCCAAAGAUCCUCGGGAUAUUGAGAGAUCCCCGAUUAUUAUCCUUGUGAUCAUUUUAGCCUCUGUUUCAGUUAUUGUAUUCCUUACUUUCUCGUAUUACCUAUUGUUAGCUUGCAACUAAAUUGCUUAUCUUAUCCUCUUAUACCUUUUAUCUUAUUUUAUCUUAGUAGGCCCCUGACCUUCCUCAUCACCACUCAACGGAGGUUAGACUUGGCACUUACUGAGUACCUUUGUGGUGUACUCAUGCCCUUUUUGCACAUAACCACGUCUCUGGACAUAAUAGUUACUCUUAGGCGACUACUCUAGUAACUUAGAGGUAUAUCUUCCACAUCGGCAGACCGAGAAGUCUCCUUUUAUUCCCUUAUUAGUAUUUAGCCCUUUUGUAUUUUCUGUUUUGUUAGAAAUUUUGGGGUUAGAGCUAUGUAGUAUCUCUUAGCUUCUGAUUCAUGGGUUUUCGGGUUUUGGGAAUUGUUGUUAGUUUGAGAAGUUUCAUUGUUUAUGCUGAGUGGCAUUUUAAAUAUGCUUCAUUAUGUUAUCCGGUUUUAAAUUAUUUCUUCCACGAGUUUUGUUUAUUUUCAUAUUUUUAGGCUUACCUAGUCGUAUUUUAGAAAAUUCCACUUCAUUUCAUUCCUUAUCGUGUGAUAUUUAUUCAAUUUGAAGCCUAUAUCACAUGUUAUUUUUGCAUCCACUUGUGUAUUGAAAUUGCUCACUCGGCAUCAAUUAUACGCCAACGGCUCGUGAUGCUAUAAAAGGAUUAUAAGGGAGCCAAGAAUUUCUCAACCACUAUUAUCGCGUGUCAUCCAUAUCGAUAAUGCAGGUGUUUUGAUAGAUCAUUCAGUUGUGCACAUGAGGGUGCAAUAGGUUAUGGCAUAUGAUUGAUAAGUACUGUCUUAAGAAGGUUCACUUAAUUGCCUAAUCGUUGCGAUAGUAGUAGAGUCAUGAGGUUGGUGUAUAUCUGAAGAUACUCGGUGGUAGUAGAUACGAUGUUGUUCAUAUGAUAUUUUGAUUUUGGUGAAGGGUACAACUAGCAACCGAGAUACUGGAAGAAGUGAGUUCAACUGUCAAAAGGAUGACAUGCGCCAAACGAAUGGCUUGAGGUGUCUUAUGAUAGUGUUGUACGAUCGAUAAAGGCUAGUAUAUUGGAUUAUCAAAAUGUAUCCUAUGGCUUUGCACCAAGUGAAAGGAGUGCACUAUCAACGAUCAAAUAGUCAGGUCAUGUGUCAUAUCAGCUUUGGCCUGAGAUAUAUUUCUGUGGUGUUCAAAAGUCCUCUGAAACUUGUAUAUAAGUAAAAGAUGAAAUUUGAAUAGGAUGAUGCAGGGACAUGGAAAUAAUUUUGGAAUACUCGUAGUGCUUAAUCAACGCACUCACUUGGAACAAUCAUCAUUUAAUGCACAACUGGUAUAUGAUUCUUACAAUGGUUAUUCUAUUUAUCUGGUACAGACUUAGUAUGAGCAGCCAAACGUAGAUGGGUGUUAUGAAUGUUGUGAUACUAAGAACAUCGUGAGAGAUUGUCCCAUACUUGGUAGGAAUCUAUUUCAUCAAAACACUUAGUCCACACACUCCAUUACUAAUCUACAUAUACUAUAAGUUAAAGAUGGAGAACAAGUGUGUAGAUGGCGCCUAAGAGGUGGGGGCCCGACCCAAUUAUAUAAUUGCCAUGGUAUGGAUAGUGUCGCUACACCAGAUGGUGUCAUUACAUGUAUGAUCUCAAUGUGAUUAUAAAGUAAUAAUUUCAUUAAAUUGAUUCGGUUCUAAGUAUCUAAGAAAGUCCUAUAAAUAUGCUACACUCACGAGUGAGCUCCGUAAUCCUGAAAUUUACUUAUAUGAAUACUCACGUUAGGUUAUUAUAUGGAGAUAGCUAUUUCUAUCUUUAUGUGUUGGUCACUAAGAAUAGCUAUGAGGCUAAAAGUGACUUUCUAUUACUUACUACAAUGAGUUUUGAUGUGAUUUCAGGAUAAUUAAAUACAAUUGUGAAUUAUAUGCCCUACCAGUAUGAGAGUUCAUUAUAUGUUGUGAUUUUGUUUGACGAAAAUUAUUUUAAAAGAAGAAAGAAAAGAAAUAAAAAAUUUCAGUUGGCACAAUGUGCAAAUACUUGUGAUUUAGAGUUGAGGACGAGAUCCUCACAUUUUUAUAUAAUGUGAAAUAUUUUAAACCAGGAUACAAGUUACGGGGGAUCUUAUAUAAGGACGAGGUCCUGGUGGUGAAAAGUUUAUGCGUUUCAAAUUCUUCUUUUAUGAAAUAAAAUAAAAUUGUUAUAUUUUAAUAGGGAGUCAUGAGUGUUAGGCUUAUUUGUCGAUUCUUGCAUAUUUUGUGUUCAUAUUCGACCAUUUUUAUGUUGUAGUCGUUGAGUUUUAGCCUACGAGAUCGGUGCCCAGGUGGCGUUAAAUGUGACUCGUUAAUUCGGCUAAGUAAUUAUAAGGUCUCUAUGCCUCGUUGUGAUAAAGUGGAGGUUUGAAAUGAGAGAUUGGUAACAUAAGGUUAAUUGGCAAUGCUGUGAUUUAUGAGUAACAAUUAUGGCCAGAGACGUGGUGGUUAUGUGCAUACAUAUAUGUCACACCUCCUUUUGGCUACUACAACCCGGCGAAGGGCGUAGAUAAAGGAGUUUUUCCAAUUAAAGAACAAUCCAAAAGAGAUCUAAUUAUUUAAGAGAUUUUCAGAGUCUCCACUUGGGAGAUUUAUGGUGUCCCAAGUCACCAUUUGGAAUCUCGAAUCGAGGAAAGAAUGGCUCUGAUUAAUAGUCUGCGAACCAGAAAUCCGGGUAAGAAAUUCUGUUAACCCUAGAGUAAGUGUUAGGCAUUCUCGGGUCUCGUGGUCCAGCAUAGUCUCUCAACUGUUAUAUUUGACUUUUGUUAUUUGAUUUUAUAAAAUUAUGAACCUAUGUGCAUUUUGAACCUUUUAACCAUUUUUGUUAUUAUUUUUAAAGAGAAUCCCAAUGUCGUUUAAAAACGUCUUGUACCACGUCACAUAAAUGCACCUGCGGUCUUUGACAUAUUUUAACAUUAUUGAGAUUUAGAUUUGGGUCACAUAAAUGCGCACCCGAGUUUAAGUAAAUUAUAUUAAAAUAACACACCUAAAGCAACUACGCACUUUUAACUUUGCAAGGGCCAUGGAAAGUUCAACUAAUAGCACACCUCGAUUCUAAUUUCAAGGAAUCGUAGUUAUGUCACACGGACGUGUCCACAAUUACGACUUGUAUUUUGAAUGUGCAUAAAGGCUUUCCUACCAGGGUAGAUGACCCAAUCAUGCUCCAAACGGUCAAGUUAAUGAAUCAGUUUUCACCUUUAAUUCACAUACGCCACGACCAUUUAUCAUUGUUUUUCCUGCACUAAUUUCACUUUACAAUCAAGAAUUCAUAAAAUAGAAAUCAAAAUUCUUAGAGACUUUGAACUGACUUCAAACAAAAAUAACAGACAAAUCAAACAAGCAAUAUUAAUGAGCAAGACAAUUAAAGCCUAUCAAUCAAAGGCAAGCAUGAAACUCAUGUAAAGAUUUUCAAACAACAUUAUUACAGCACCAACAUGGAAAAUUAACCAAAAAUAAUAACCAACUUACCAAGAAUACAAAGUCAUUCAAGACAAAAACACUAGGUAGUACCACUUGAACUAAUUAAAGGAUAAGGAUAGAAAUAGACCUUUGUAUUUAAUCUGAGAUGUCAAAACCACGGACAAGAUCCUUAUGGGAAUGUCUCGCUGGAAACCUCAACAAAACAACCUCCACACAAGUCAAACUCAACGGCUCCAAACACGCACGCUAAACCAACCCGAAGCCCUCCUCUAUAUUUCAGUAAAUUCGAACUCACCCGAGUGCAAAUCAAACUCCACAAGAGGAAAUCAAAAUGCAUCUUUUCAGGUUUAAGAAGAAACAAAUGGAUCCCCUUUUUUGUGUUUCUUUUUUAUGAAUAAAAAGAAAGACAGAAUCGGAAAAUGAAAGGGUGGAAUGGAGCCUAAGACCCUCGUCUCCUCUCACUAUGUUGUUGUUCGUUUUGCUACUAUUUUUCGCUCAUUUUGAAGCAUGCUUGAGAAUGAUUUUGAGCUUGAAUUUUGCUCCUAUUUCUGGUCAAACUUCGGACUAUUUCAGGAUUCAAUCAGGUUUCAUGGCCUUUGUAGCAGUGAUUGAUGAAGAAUAAGAAACUGUGGCGACUGGUGGCCGUCGCUGGUGGAGUCAGCGAUUCUGUGCGUGUACUGGUCGUCAGAUGCCUUCGAAAGGGUGUUGGAGUUGGAAUGGCCUUGUGAAAUCAAAAAGAGAAAGUGCUGAUGGGAGGGUGGUUGGUCGCUAGGUCAUGUAAAAGUUUGGAGAUCAGGUUCAGGGGUCGUUUGGUCGAAUAAGAACAACAAUCGUCGGGGGAGGGGUAUUGUAAAAGUUAUGCAGCCCUUCAGGCGUCACUAUCCUUCUGUUUAGGGGUCUAUAUGUGUGUCUUGUGUAUAUAAUGCGUAUUAGGUUUUUAGGUGGUGAAAUGGGUUUGGGUGUUGGGCUGGAUCGGGUCGACCCGGUUUGGGGUUGGGUAGGGGCUAAUUUGGGGUGAGUUUUAAAAGGAAAAUUGCAUUGGGCUUAAAAAUAGAAGUAGAUAUCACCCCAACAAUAUGAUUCACAUCUUUGUUUUCUUAUUUUCUAUAUUAUUUUAAAUUAAAACUAAACAUAACACGUAAAUUAAUUCCUAGUCAAAUUAUUUUCAAAUUAAAUAAUUACUAAAACUAAUACUUACUGCAACUAAUUAAAACCAAAUUAAACGGAAAACUAACGAAAUUCAAAGACUAAAAUUAAAAGUGCAAAAUUAACUAUUUUUUUAUUUUCUUUUGACACAAUUAACUUAAUAUAAUAAUUCCUAAAUGCAAAUUGAACCUAAGGUGGCAUAAAAUUAAAAUGUGUCACUUUUAUAUUUUUUCUAUGAUUUGAAAAUAUUUAAAAUGCAUGAAAUGCAACUAAAAUAAAGAAAAAUUCCUAAAAUUAAUAAAAAAGAUGCUUUGGUCUAUUUUUAGGAGUUAUUCUCACGUAGGGCAAAAAUCACGUGCUCACAUAGAGUACACCUAUAAACAGGCCUAUUUGGGAUUUGUGGUCUCGGCAGAAAAUUAAUUUGAUGCUCAAUUCCAUGUAAAUGUGGUAAUCCAUUAGGAAUAUCUUCAGGAAAGACAUCUUUAAAAUCCUAAAAAAGAGAAGAAAUACUACUUGGCAAAGAAGAAUUAUUAAAAAAAAAUAUUUUGGUAUAUUUUUUGGAGUUAUUCUGAGGUAGGGCAAAAAUCACGUGCUCACAGCUGACCCUCUUUGCUCGGAUACCCGAAAAGUUUUCGUGCAAAGAUAAGUGAGCAAAUAUGAGCAAUUUUUGCCCGUUUGAAUACUCCAUGAGAAGCAUUUUGAGAAGAUUUGACUGCACCAUGCUUAUGAGGUUGACUACAUAUCCUUGGCUGUAAAGGAAUCAGGUCAAUGUAGUUCAGGAUUGAGUGAGAUGAAGGAGUAUGCUGAGGUGAAGAUCCGGUCGAGGUGCCGGUCCGCCAAGGUUCUGGUCAUGUUAUUACAUCAAAAUCAAAUGAAUGAAAAAGACUAGCUAAACCUAUCAACUACGAGUUACAAGAUUCCUAUCUAUUAGUCUUCUGAAGCUUGAUCUUGAGUCUUGAGUGGUUCUUCAUUCUGACUUUAGAUUUCAACCUUGAUGCUUGUUAUGUGCAGGUACUAGCUCGUUCUUCUUCAUCUUUUCUUAAUUAAGACUUGACAUGUAGCGGUUGCGACCUCAACCACGCCUUCUGCAAUUUACAUCUUUCAUAUGCUUUUAUUUGGAUUGACUUACUGCUUGCCUUCCUUUUUCUUCUUUUUUUACUUUAUUGUGACUUUUGUUGAUUACCUCGGACUGUUGACUUGCAUUCUUGCCAUGAGAUUCUUUUGUUGUUGACUUGAAUUGUAAUCUGAGAUAUUUUCCCUUUCUCCAGGUGGAUGCCUGAUUGCUGAACUCGAAUUGUGUUCCCUUGUUCUCCAGGUGGGUGCCUGAUUAUCAAAACUUAACACUUGAAAAAUAUUCCUUUGUUCUACAGGUGGGCGCCUGAUUACAAAAUCUUGAAUUUUCAAAAAAUAUUCCCUUAUUCUAUAGGUGGGCGCCUAAUUACAAAAUCUUGAAUUUUCAAAAAAUAUUCCCUUAUUCUACAUGUGGGCGUCUGAUUACAAAACUUGGAUUUUGAAAAAUAUUCCCUUAUUCUACAAGUGGGCGCCUGAUUACUAAAACUUGAAAAUUUGAAAAAUAUUCCCUUGUUCUUUACGUGGGCACCUGAUUACCAAAACUUUAAAAUUUUGAAAAAACAUUCCCUUGUUCUACAGGUGGACGCCUGAUUACCAAAACUUGAAAUUUGAAAAAUAUUCCCUUGUUCUAGAGGUGGGCGCCUGAUUACCAAAAUUCAGCCUGAUUACCAAAACUUGAUUUUUGAAAAAUAUUCCCUUGUUCUACCGGUGGGCGCCUGAUUACCAAAACUUGAAAUUUUGAAAAAUAUUCUCUUGUUCUAUAGGUAGGCGCCUGAUUGUCAAAACUUGAAUUUUGAAAAAUAUUCCCUUGUUUUACAGGUGGGCGCCUGAUUGCCAAAACUUGAAAUUUAAAAAAUAUUCCCUUGUUCUACAGGUGGGCGUCUGACUACCAAGACUUGAAUUUUGAAAAAUAUUCCCUUGUUCUACAUGUGGGCUCAUGAUUGCCAAAACUUGAAAUUUUGAAAAAUAUUCCCUUGUUCUCCAGGUGGGAGCCGACUGCCAAGACUUGAAUUUUGAAUAAUAUUCCCUUGUUCUACAGAUGGGCGCCUGAUUGCCAAAACUUGAAAUUUUGAAAAAUAUUCUCUUGUUCUCCAGGUGGGCGCCUGACUACCAAAACAUGAAAAUUUGAAAAAUAUUCCCUUGUUCUACAGGUCGGCGCCUGAUUACCAAAACUUGCAAUUUUUUUAAGUAUUCCCCUGUUCUGUAGGUGGGUGCCUGAUUGCUGAAACUUGAAAUUCUUUGAAAAAUAUUCCCUUGUUCUACAGGUGGACGCCUGAUUGCCAAAACUUGAAAAUUUGAAAAAUACUCCCUUAUUUUCCAGGUGGGCGCCUGAUUGCCAAAACUUGAAAUUUUGAAAAAUAUUCCCCUGUUUUCCAGGUGGGUGCCUGAUUACCAAGACUUGAAUUUUGAAAAUAUUCCCUUGUUCUACAUGUGGGCGCUUGAUUGCCAAAACUUGAAAUUUUAAAAAAUAUUCCCUUGUUCUCCAGGUGGCCGCCUGAUUACCAAAACAUGAAAUUUGAAAAAUAAUCCCUUGUUCUACAGGUGGGCUCCUGAUUACUAAAGCUUGAAUUUUGAAAAAUAUUCCCUGAGACUGUUGCGUGUGUACCUGACCACUACAAAACAAACGAAACACAAGAAAUUCUUCCUGCCCCAGUUUGGUGCUGGGCGAUCUGUGAGUGUAAAUCAAAUCCCUUACCAAAUAUCUCUAAAUCUAAGCUAAGUCCCAUUAUCCAGGAGAGUCCUGACAAUUCUUAACUGAUGACAACUUUAAGACUAUGUUAUGUCUUUCAAAAGGUAUUAAUUUCCACUUUGUCUUGUUAUGAAUUAUAUUUGCGGGGGUUCUUAGAGCUACGUCCCAUUAUUCAGGGGGAUCCUGACAACUUCUACGAUUAAAUCCCAUUAUCCAGGCGAAUCCUGAUAACUCUUGUUGGGGGAAGUAUUUGGGUUUGACUAGGCCCCCCGACUGUUUGUGUUCUAGUCUAAGUCCCAUUUUCCAGGAUGGUCCUGAUAACUCUUAACUAAGUCCUACUUCAACAUGCAAGUCAUUUUAUUCCCUUUACUAUCCAUGAUUACCUCUAACCUUUAAGUGAGUCCCAUUUUCCAGGAGGGUCCUGAAGGUUUCAAUUUAAAUGCCAAUUCUAACUUCUGGUUGUGUCUGCUAGUGAUUAUUGUCCAUCAGGGUUUGUGUGACUCUUACUGGGGGAGAUGUUGGUGCCUGCCCAUGUUAACCGUGCCUGCCUAUGUUUUAAACUGAGUCCCAUUUCAACUUCCAUGCCUCAUUUAACCCUCAGUUGUUCCUGUUGGGGUUUGCUAGUUAAAGUUUGUCCCGAUAUACCCUGGCUGGGGAGAAUAUUUAUGACGGAUUACAUUCCUUUUGAGCUUUAACUGGGUCCCACUUUUAGAUAGCCCUGAGGUUUUGAUCAUACCUACCAUGUGCCUGCCUUCCCCUGUGGAUGGCCCCCCUAAAGCUCUUCGGGAAUUUUUCUACCCUUGUGUCAAUCAAAGAAAACUUGUUAGUUUGAAAAUUGGUGGUUAGCUUGCGGCAUUCUUGCUGGAAGCGGCCUCCUCACUGUCGUGUUCCGUUGUGUUCAAAUUUCCAUGUUAAUUAUGAGUUGUCUGAGUUGGUUGGCUGACCCCUCGAACCUUUACGGCUUUACUUUGAUCCCCGUAAUUGUGUUACAUUUCUAGCCCUUUUGCCAGAAUCCUUGCACCUUUCUCGAGAUUGCCAAGUCAAUGUAUUAUUCUUGGCUGACCCUCUCACCCCUGUACCUUCACUGUGCUCCUCAUCUUUGUGUUGCUCUUUCCACCCUUUGCUAAGAUUCUCACAUCGUUUCCUGAGGUUACCCAGCCAGUUUAUGAUGCUUGGCUGACCCUUGCGACCUUUCCUAUUCUCGUGUUGCGUUUCUGACUCUUUCGUUGGACCUUUGCAUCCUUUCUGAGAUUGACCAGUCAGUUUACGAUGCUUGGCUGACCCUUGCGACCUUCCCCAUUCUCGUGUUGCAUUUUUUUUCACUUGCCAUGGCAGCUUUGAUUUCACCUUGAAAGACAUGGCUUGUUUAUUGGCUGAUCAACUUCUCUGUCACCCUUAUCACAGAAAAUACCUCCUCUCCAUGCAAACCCAAUAUCCUCUAUUUGUUGCAUUGCUGAUAAACUAACAUCUUCCAACCUUUGUGUCUUACGUGAAUCCUAAAGCACGUCCAUUGCCCCCACUCCGUGUGUAUGCUAUUUUUUAUUGACUUGAAAGCCAUCGCCCCCACUUCUUAUGGUUGUUGUUUUUAUUGACUUAAAUCACCGGCCUUGACCUUGAGGUGUCUUGAUCCUUCACUAGUCAUGAUGAUUGAUUUUCAUUUAAAAACCUGUUUGCCCCUUGAAUAACCGCUUCCUUUGUAAACCUUAACUCAGAAAAUACCUCUUCUCGUUCGAGCCCAAUACCUUUCAUCUGUUGCGUUGUUCCUGAACCGACAUCUUCCAACCCUUGUGCUUCACCUGAUCCCCAAAGCAUAUUUACCAACCACAUUGUAUAUGAUGUUCUUUCGUGACCCUAAUCACUAGCUCUGACCUUGAGGUCUACUGCUCCAUCGCUAGCCAUGAUAACUUCGAUUUCUUCUUGGGACACUUUUGCUCCGUUCACCCUAGCCCUCAUUUUUUUGCAUUGUCCAUGAUUUGAUAUGUACCGAACCUUUGUAUUUCAAACAAAUCCUCCAUUCACCCUAGCCUUCAUUCUAUUGCAUUGUCCACGAUUUGAUAUGUACCGAGCCUUUGUAUUUCAAACGAAUCCAAAAGCAUGUUGAUUGUUACUAGCUCAUUGUGCCUGUUGUUCUUUCCUGACUUAUGCUGCUUUGAUGUGACAAACAUGUCACAUUUUGUGCAAUUGGAAAACUGAUGGCAUAUUUUGAAGUCAUUUCUCACUUGUUUUGACCCGACAGAUUCAAGAGGAGGGAAUAAACAAGACAAAAGGAACAGAGCAGAGGACAAGGAAAGGAGAUGAUUCCUAACAAAAAAAACCUAAAAAGUAAAAACCUAUAAAAUGCGGGUACCAACUCUAAUGACCUUGAUAUACACCUGCCGCCUAUUCUGUUAAGAAAAUAUGAUGUUCAACUCUUGUUAUACCCCCCAGACCAUGAAUAUGGGCUUCAAUGCUCUGAUUAUCCAGUCUGAUGCUCAAUCCUUAUUUGACUUGUAGCGCCCAAAGGUUUUUCACCAUCAAGCCUCUCUUACUUUGUUCCUUCUCUCAACUUACAGUCCCCUCAAGGUUCCCAUGAGGAUUUUCACCAAUAAGACUCUCUCAUUUUCUAUUUAUCUCAACUCCCGUUGCCUUACGGUGCCCGUGAGGGUUUUCACUAAUAAGACUCUCUUAUUUUGAUUAUCUUUCCUGCUUGGACCGUAGUGUUUCCCCUGACAUGAAUCACCUCUACUUGCUCAACUUGGCAUCUCUUGAAGAGUGAUCAGAAGGUCUUUCUUUGGACCGUAACGUGAGAUUUCUGAUAGGGUUAGAAAGAAAGGGUAUCAAAGGCUCAAAACAAUUUAAAUGAGUUCAAAAUUAUAACUUUCGGAAUCAAAUUAUUACAACAACCACAACUUCUGUCCCAGUUUCUUGUUUGGGAACUUUUGGAUUUUUAUUUUGAUAAGACCGAACCGUGAGGCUACCUACGUAUCCUUUUAAAAGGAAUCAGGUCAAACAUAGUUCAUACCAAUUCCUUGUUUUUGUUGUUAUAUUUUUUCUUCUCCAUGUUUUUCUGUUUUUCUUCUCUCUUUUUUUCUUUGUUUUGUUUUCUUUUUCUUUCUUUCUUUUUCCUUUUCUCGUUUCUUGUUUUUCAUUUUUUCUCUUUUUCAUUUUUUUCUUUUUUUUCAUUCUUUUCAUUCUUUCAUUUCCCUUCCUUUUACUUCCUUCUCACACUUGUGUUUCUGACUUUUGUUAUUGAUUUCGAAAGAGGGGUAUGAAAGAAAAUAAUUAAAGCUCAAAAGGGUUAGCAAAGGAUAAAGUAUUUAGGUAUCAGAAAAAAAUGCCUUCGUCAUUUCAAUCUUUCAAAUAUGCCAGGACAAGCAAGUACAAUCAGACAAAGGAACCAUACAUAGUAUCUCUUGACUACAUCAAAAUUGAUAGCCAUUUCUACACAUUUCCCUUCCCCAUCUAUCAAAUAUAGUGCACCAUUGGACAACACUCUAGCUACAACAAAUGGUCCCUGCCAGUUUGGUAAGCCUGCUUUUAGGAUUUCUUCAUGUUCUAUCUGCCCGUGGUUCGGGCUUCAAAAGAUCUCAAAAGGUCCAAAUCUAUUCUGAUUUCCCGCAAGUGUCUCUAUUGCCUUAUGAGUAAUCUUUUAAGACCAGGACUGGGGUUAUGCAUGAAUGUCAUGUCAUUAAAGCCAACAGGGAAACGAAUUGUAAAAAGAAACGAAAACUAAACAAAAUGACUAGAAAUAACGGAAAGUAGAAAAUUGCAUUAGAUAGAUGAUGAAAGAGCUGACAACAAAACAAGUAAAAAGACUGGGGUUAAAACCCUGGAAUGAAUCUAGACGAAACUAUACAAAACUAGGAAAAAUAAAAGGAUAAGAGGGCUUGAACCACAAGACAAUAUCCGGAUUACAACCCUAAAAAUAACAAGGACAAAAGAAAUGACAACAAAAUAAACCACCAAACUCCCCUCUGGCUGACCAAGAAAUGGAGCGUCUUCCCAAUUACCCAUCACGACAUAUUAGCCGCUGGGUUCCACAUAAAUAACACUAGGCACUUCACAAGCCUUCGUCACAUUGUUCUUAACAGAUUGCUUUUGGGUUCCUUUCGCCGGCUCUUUCUGAAGAUUAACCUCUAAUAGCGCUGAAAGCUUAGUAGCAUUCGUGCCCCCCAGGCUCCCAGAAGAACUCUCACAUUCCAGCAUGUGCAUCUCAUUAUGCACAGGUGAUUGACUUUGGCUAGUGUCUGUUGCAUCCAGAUUUUGCACGACAAUGUCACCUGCGUCAAUAAGCUUCUGAAUUUGCUUUCUUUAGACUCCAACACUUCUAUGUGUGAUGCCCCGGGCAUAUGAGCAAUAUGCACACCUUUGAGAAACAUCAAACUUCUUUAACAGAGGGUUUGGCAUUUUUAUAUAAAUCGACUUCAACAUGUCCAAUUGCUUCAACCUUUGGAAAAAACUGGCAUAUGAUACUCCGAUAGGGGUGAAAGCCUUUUCAUUUUUCAGUAUCCUCUCAUUCUUACAUGCCUGGCUGGGCUGGAAACCUGAUCCAGGAGGUAUUCGGUAUGCUCGUGGGGGCGUGUAGGCAUUCUGUGGAGCUGAGUAUGGGGGAAAGUGAUGUACGAUUUUGGGAGUUCUAUGAAGAGAAGCACCAUUGGGGAGUAUCAUCGGGUACGCGAGGAUAUCCACGAGGACGAUGUCGAGGCUAGAAAUGUUGAUCAUCUUUUCUAUUUCUCUUUCUUUCGCCAAAGCUUACUUGGAUGUUCUGAAUAUCUUUCUAAUCACUCAUGAUUUUGCCUCACUUGAUUCCCUCUUAUAAUUGCUCCCCCAUUAUUAACACAUCAUUGAAAGGUUUUCCCAAAGUCGGGAUCAAAUAACUGAAGUAGGUGGGCUCCUGGGCUUGUAGGAAAAGCUCAACCAUUUCCUUUUCACCAAUCGGGGCACUGACUCGAGCAGCUUGUGCCCUCUAUCUGAGCCCAAAAUCCCUAAAUCUUUCCUCCAGCAUCUUUUUCAUUUUAGAUAGGGAAGCGCGAUCUGGGGUAACACUGGAUUUGCAUUGAAAGUAUCGAAUACAAUCUUGAGCCAUGUCACUCAAUGUAGGCCAUUUACCAAUAUCUUGACGAGUAUACCAGUCCAAAGCUGCCCCAGUCAGGCUCUUGCUGAAAUAUGCUAUCAACAGGUCAUCUUUCUCUCCAACGCCUCUCAUUUCACUACAAUAAACCGUCAGGUGGGCUACCAGAUAUCCGUACCCAUCGUACAAGUUAAAUUUUGGCACUUUGAACCCUGCAGGUAGGCGAACGUUAGGGGAUGUAAAUAGUUCUUCACAAACCAUAUUACCCUGGUCUCGCAUUCCUUGCUUGUUCUUCAAGGACUGUCUUAUACCUUCCAGCCACUGGGAUAUUCCAUUCCGCCCUUCUUUCCCUGUGAACUUUUCAUUCUCAACAUGAGGCUCAUCCUGUAGGCUCUGCUUGUACGAUUCAAAAACCUUGUGGGCCACCUCUGAAGGGCAGUAUUGGAUAUCAUGAGCUUCGAGUAGGUAUUAAUUAUUGGGGAGAAUGGAUGCGAUAGGAGGGAGCUUUUGGGAAAAGAUAUUUGGAGGACAAGUGACGGAGCUACUGGGGUGGUUGGGAAAAACGUAAUAAGCAGGGGCAUCUGGAGAGUAUGGAGGAUCAUUCGGAACCAUGAAUGGAGUUUGGAGAAGGGUAGCAUCUAGGAAGAUAGGUGGUGGCGGGGGUAGUUCUUUCUCAGUCAUCCGAGCCUGAUGCAUUUCUGCCAUGUGUUGUCUCAGCAUUUUUACCUCUUCAAUUAACACAUUGUCUUGGUCAACCAACUGCUUUCGGGCCCCGGUAUCAACCAAUCCAGUUUUGUUGUUGUCUGCCAUUGCCUUUGACUUUAUGACAGAGGAGAGUUAUUACUUUAAAAACCACAAACCAACCACCCUUCUGCUAUGAGUAUAACAAAAUGAAGCCAUCAUGNNNNNNNNNNNNNNNNNNNNNNNNNNNNNNNNNNNNNNNNNNNNNNNNNNNNNNNNNNNNNNNNNNNNNNNNNNNNNNNNNNNNNNNNNNNNNAGCGUUAGGGCAUUAAACAACUAAAAUAUCACAUUGCGUGCAAUGCACCUAGUCACAGUUACCGGUUCUAACAUGACUUCGAGGGUAUGAAGCUCAUAUGCACCAUCCCAAUUUGUUCAUUUUCAACCUCUCUUUCUUUGCUUUUCUGGCACUUGCUUGAUCAUUUUCCUUCCUCUUUUUUCUAUUUAUCACUCAGUCUUUUCUUUAAUGUUCAUGUUCUAUAAUUACACCCUUUUUUCUUUUCCUUUCUCUUUCUAUUUUUUUUCCGAUUUUUUAUCUUUAUCCUUUUUUAAUAAUAAAACAAAAUAAUUCGAUCGAACCCUAUGUAGGUUGCCUACGUAUCAUGACCCCGCAUGAAUAGAUAUUUGCAUAGUUCUGGAAGAUCGAAAAUGGAGCGAAUAAACUAGCUCAUUUUUUGUUUAUUUUUAUACAACUCAAACCAUGAAAACUCUAAGAAACAAAAAAAUAUUAUUUUUUUGAUAAUCAACUUGAAACCAUUUCAAUACCAGCAAAACCACAUGAUACGAAGCAACAAAGAUACAAAUCCAACCUUAUUUAACUCGUGACCCUUUAUAAGGAUAAGCUACUAGUUGACAGCCAAAAUAUUUACAAAAGAAGGUCAUAUAUGCAAAAACUGAUCAAUUCUGCAAUUCUGGACAUCAUCACAAUAACUGACAAAGUUGUAACCUAAUGGUAAUCUUCCGAGCCAUGUUCUUGAACAAUUGAAGCAAUGGUAAUUCAACCAAACUACUUUGCAGCCUUAAUACACUUCAAUCAAUUUUCAUAAACAUUUGCAAACCUCAACAAAUCACCUAAAAGUAGUGAUCCGAAAAAAAAAAUCUUUUUCUUUUCAUUCUUUACUUCCUGCUUUCUCUUCUUCUUUUUCAUCAUUUUUUAAUUUGCUUUAAGGAUAAUCCAAAGUAACAAAAACUAAAAACUAAAAACUACUAAAUUAAAAUAGCAAAAGCCAGCCAGAAAAAUAUAGUAACUAUAUAAAAAGAAUUAACUACUACCAUUACUAAGUAUUUUUUAAAGCCUACAACUAAAAAAUUCAUUAUACUAGAUAAGACUAUAAUUUGGAAACUCUACGUUCUUUGUUCAUGAAAAUAGAGUUAAUACUCUAAAAAAUGUAACUCUUUUUGUAAUUUUUUUUGAUUAAUUUUUUUUAGAUUUUGUUAAAUGAACGAAAUACAAAGCGAAAUAAAGACUAAAAUAUCGAGAUUAUACUUAAUAAAUAUAUUUAUAUGCUAAAAAGUGAGUUAAAAUCUAAAUAGUACGGUUGUAAUUUGACUGCUAAUUGAAACUCAGCAACUAUGCAGGAUCAAACUCAAAAUGUAAUUAAAACUUAGAACCAAGCAAAAUUUUGUGCUACAGACAACUCUACAGAUUCAUAUUUAUAGCCUGCUGGACCAACUAACACCAAACUAAGCUAGCAGCAACGAACAAAGUAACUUUAAGCAAUAUUUUUCAGCUUCUAAUUCCCUAUUAACUAAAUCACCAAAACAUUUAUAAUCAACUGAAUUCAACUGUGCAGAAAAAUCAGCUUGCACUCACUAGACAACUGGUGCAAAANNNNNNNNNNNNNNNNNNNNNNNNNNNNNNNNNNNNNNNNNNNNNNNNNNNNNNNNNNNNNNNNNNNNNNNNNNNNNNNNNNNNNNNNNNNNNNNNNNNNNNNNNNNNNNNNNNNNNNNNNNNNNNNNNNNNNNNNNNNNNAUAUUCAAACAAGUUCUAAUGUCCAACCCAGUUUCAGGUUUACAAAAUGUUGUAGAAAAAUACAAAUAAUUCUUUGAAAACUUGUAUUACAUCAACAAAUUUCAUUUAAAUGCAAAGUUAUAAGAUUCAAAAAAGCUGGUAGGUUCGCUAUUCAAUUGCUUCUCAAAACUUAAGCAACACCUUGAGCACUAAAUUCAGCAAUAGUAGGCACAAAAAUUUUCAGCCCAGAAUGAUGACCUCAAUUGUAGAAACAAAGCAUUAGAAUCACAAAUUUAUUGAGUCAGAAUAACCACAAAGUACAACUGAAUAGUGCGGGAUAUGCUUUUAAAAAAUAACUCGAAACUUGAAUUUCAAUAAUGUAUUGUUGGCAUAUAAACUAAAGCAACGCAGUUGAGUUAACUGAAGCUAAAACUUUUGCAAAAUUUCCUCAACAGUUAAGAAAAAUUAUAGUAACAACAAUCAAUUAAAGAAAUGUGGAAAUCUUCAUUGUUUAGCGCAAUAUGAACAAUGCAGGGCUGUGAACAGCAAGUAUGAAAUCCUUUACAGCAACAGAAAACAAGCAACAAAUUAUUUUCCAGCAAACAUGUAACUUCUGUCAGCAGAUUCUAACCAACUGGACAAUAGUUUAUUUAGCAAGAGCACUCAAUUCAACAAAAAGAACAUUUUAGAAGUAAAAACCAAAUUUCAAACUAUCACUGCCAAAGUUGAGCACAAUCUCAACUAACAUAUAUUCCGGUAGAUUAAGCUUACUGUAUGUUCAACCAAAUCACAAUUCAAGCUACUCAAUCUCUUGUCCAACUGAAUCCCCUCUAUUAAACUCAAUGACAACAACAACUAUUAGAAACCAGGAGAAUUUCAGCUAUCAAUUUACUCCCAAAAACUUCACAAGUAGUGGCAAACUUUAACAAGACAAGCUUCAAAACUCCACAGUCUUAGCACAAAGAUAAUUGGUGUUCAAUGUAGGAUUUUCUUUCAAACAAUUGGCCCACGAACAAUUCAUAGAUUGAAUUAAAAUCACAAAACAAUGCUCCAACAAACAAAGGCUGAUCUUAACAAAACUUUUGUAAACAUAAAAUAACUUUGACAAGAGAAUUACAACUUGAACUCUAAGAAUUUCAACAGUAGGGUCUAUUGACACAACCCAAUUCACACAAUUUCCAAACAAACAACUUCUGAAUUCUAAAACUAACCUAUGUGGCUAAAAGUGGCUAGAAGUGCAAAAUUUGGCUAUGACCCCGCAAAUUCAAGAACCUAAGGUUUACUAGGAAGACGGACCCUAUGUGGGUUGCCUACAUAUCAUGCCCCGAAAGACAAGAAUCAGGUUUACGUAGUUCGGAAAAAUUAGAUACGAGCAAGAAUAACAAAAAAGAACUACUAAUUUAGAGACAACAAUCCCUUUUUUUUUUUGCUUUUUCUUGUAAAAUGUUGAAACAUGCAAAAUCUUUUGAAUUUUAUUUUUACCUUAUUUAUAUAUUUUUAAAAAUGAUAAAAAUGCAAAAUCUUUUUUUUUUUGAAUUUUUCAAGUAGAUCUUUUUUCCUUUUUUUUUUAAAAAAAACAUGUAACAAAACAUAACUAGAUCAUACUUGCUUACUUUCACACUUCACCCUCCCUUUCCUUUUUUCAUUAUUUUUCUUUUUUUCAUUUACCCUCAACUAUCAUUGGUCCGCCCAAUGACCAUUUUACCCUUGGAGAAAUGCAACAUGUAGCACAUUAAGAUUCCUCAGGGUGGUCUGUUAUUUUGGGUAUACCUGUCCUAGACGGACCCAACCCCUGUGUUGAGUCCCGUAAGUCAAAUGCUUGAUGUCGAUAAGUGUUCCUACUAGGGAUGCGACAUGAGAUUUUGUAUUUCUAAGUUUAAGCCUGGGUAUUUGUUCUAGACUGUGUACCCGAGCGCACAACUCGAGUCGAGGAGGGGGAUACGUACUGGGGACCGCAAGAUCAUCCGACCUUGUAACUUGUUCGAGCCUCUUUCUUAUUUCAGGGUAUGAUACUAACAGAAUAGGGAGUCUUAACCAGUAAGCACAUCCCCGGAGGUGAGAAGAGAAGGGUGUCGUAGCAGUUUAUAUGUACAGUUCAGAUAAUAUCAAAGCGGUAAAAGCAUCAUUUUGCACAUNNNNNNNNNNNNNNNNNNNNNNNNNNNNNNNNNNNNNNNNNNNNNNNNNNNNNNNNNNNNNNNNNNNNNNNNNNNNNNNNNNNNNNNNNNNNNNNNNNNNNNNNNNNNNNNNNNNNNNNNUUAAGCCAACAUGUAAAAUCAGAUAAUAAACAAAGCCAAAUACAACAAUUAUUCUAAGCUCGAAUUCUUGAACCCUGAACCAGAGAUUUUGGGUUCCAUCCCAAGCAGAGUCAGCAUAGUUGUCACACCUCCUUUUGUCUACUACAACCCUACGAAGGGCGUAGAUAAGGGAGUUUUUCCAAUUAAAGGACAAUCGAAAUGGUAUCUAAUUAUUUAAGAUAUUUUUAGAGUCGCCACUUGGGAGAUUAUGGUGUCCCAAGUCACCGUUUGGAAUCCCGAACCGAGGAAAGAAUGACUCUGAUUAACAGUCUGCGAACCAGAAAUCCAGGUAAGGAAUUCUGUUAACCCGGGAGAAGGUGUUAGGCAUUACAGGGUUCCGUGGUUCUAGCACGGUUGCUCAACUGUUAUAUUUGGCUUACGUUAUUUGAUUUUAUACAAUUAUGAACCUAUGUGCAUUUUGAACCUUUUAACCACUUUUAUUAUUAUUUUAAAGGAGAAUUGCAACGUCGUUAAAACACGUCUUGUACCAUGUCACAUAAAUGCACCCGCGGUCUUUGACAUAUUUUAACAUUGUUGAGAUUUAAAUUUGGGUCACAUAAAUGCGCACCCGAGUUUAAGUAACUUAUUUAUUAAAAUAACACACCUAAAAUAACUACGCACUUUCAGCUUUGCGAGGGCCAUGGAACGUUCAACUAAUGGCACACCUCGAUUCUAAUUUCAGAGAAUCGUAGAUAUGUCACACGGAAGUGUCCACAAUCACGACUUGUAUUUUGAAUAUGCUUAAAGGCUUGCCUACCCAAGGUAGAUGACCAAAUCAUGCUCCCAACGGUCAAGUUAAUCAAGCAGUUUCCACCUUUAUUUCACAUAUCCCACGACCAUUUAUCAUUGUUUUUCAUGCACUAAUUUCACUAUACAAUCAAGAAUUCAUAGAAAUCAACAUUCUUAGAGACUUUAUACUGUCUUCAAACAAAUAUAACAGACAAAUCAAACAAGCAAUAUUAGUGAACAAAACAAUUAAAGCCUAUCAAACAAAGGCAAGCAUGAAACUCAUGUAAAGAUUUUCAAACAACAUUAUUACAACACCAACAUGGAAAAUUAACCAAAAAUAAUAACCAACUUACCAAGAAUACAAAUUCAUUCAAGCCAAAAACACUAGGUAGUACCACAAGAUUCUUGAACUAAUUAAAGGAGAAGGAUAGAAAUGGACCUUUGUAUUGAAUCGGAGAUGUCAAAACCACGGACAAGAUCCUAUGGGAAUG
rnacentral:lncRNA from 1 species